UUCUGAACUCUGCUUGCACUCAUAGCUUUUUGAGACUAUGUUUCUUCCUAUUUAAAUAUCAAUAACUGAGUGAUUGCUGGCACAAGGACAACGAAUUUUAAAUGUUAUCUGUAUCGUUUAUACAUUCUGUAAAUUGUAUAACAUUCAGGAAUGCGUUAAAAUGUGGAAAUAAUAACGCAUCAUGUCCAUUUAAUCUGAUUUUUCAUUGUUUAUCUGCUAAGCUCUAAUAAAUCAUUGUUGCUGUCAAUAUCUUUGCAGCAGCCCCCGGCCCUUUCUGAUAAUGUGAGACCCUUUUUUGGUACGAUGCUCACCCCUCAUUCAGCACAUCAACAUCAAGAACGAAAAAACCAGAUGACGGACCAGAAGUUCAGAUAAAUGCACUCUGUCGCAGUGGCACAAGAUUAUAUGGGUUGGGGAAUAUGACUUCUUGAAUUGUAAUAAUGCAUCCAGUGUCACAAGUGCUACAGCAUAACACGCCAAUGGAUGGGACUCUUACUCAUGCUGCGAGGGCAAGUAGACAAUGAUCCGCAUUUUUAUGAAUUAUUGAGGAAGGCGGGGUAGAACGAGAUGGUGGUAACCAAUUUUGGACUAAGCACCAGGAAGCCUUUCAGCUCAUGGUCAUGUGGCCUGAGAGACAGGAACAUUGCUGCAUACUGCCGGAGUCUCUGCUCACUGUCCCUGCCACUGUCACUACCACCGCCAUUUACAGUUACAUGAUUCAUCGGGGGCCUCGUCCUUGUCAUGUAACGCCUCCAACCCAACUGUAUAUUAACAGCUGCCCAGGUUCUCCAGUUUGAUGAAUAGUAUCUCGCUGUUCUCUUCAGCCUCUCAUUUGCAAACUUGUAGCGGAAGUGAUCAGUAAUGUAUCGAAGAUUAUUUGCACUUAGUGCAAAUGCCUCUGUUGACUCGAUGCAUGUAAAUGUGGCUGAGGAGGAAGGUAGCCUGUCCACAAACGGACGUCGAAGGCACCAUGACAGGAG